UCAGCCAUGAUACUGUCAUUCACUUGAUCGACAGUCAUUUGUGGUUUUUGGUUAGGGGCAUUUGAUGAAGAAGUCAUUUCAGAUAUAUAGAAGUUUGAGUUUUGAUCUGAAAUCUUUUAUAAGGUCCCAAUUUUGGUGGAAAGCAAUAUGAUUGUUAGAUGGUCAUCAUGGAUUUGUUUGUCGCGAUGGAGGUUGUCCCAGAAGUGGAAACAAGAGUAAGUGCUUCAAAGAUUUAUGUUGAUUGGGAAAUGCGGAAAUGUUGACUUAUGCGGUAAACGUUGGUUGUGGUUAGAACCCAUAGUGACUCCUUUGGACUAUUGGCUCUUGGUACAUUUGAAGUAUUUUUAGUAUAGUUUUGUUUUGUACAUUUCUGCAAAAAGUUGAGUUGGAGUCAUGGUCUUUUGUAUAUUGAUGUAUUUUAAGUCUUGAAGUCUUGACUAUUAUGGUGGAUUGAAGUAUACAUCAUUUUGGAGUCAAAUUGGUCAUUUUGUCACUUUGGGUAAAUGCGGGCGAGUGACCCGUUUGGUUGUUUUAAUGUAAAUUUCAAUGGUUAAAGUUUCGAAUGUAUCAAUUAGGUUGUAAUAUGUGAUUUUACA